rnacentral:misc_RNA from 1 species
AACGCACAUUGCGCCCGCCAGUAUUCUGGCGGGCAUGCCUGUCCGAGCGUCAUUUCAACCCUCGAACCCCCCCCGGGGGGAUCGGUGUUGGGGACCGGCCUCCGCCCUCGCUGGCGGUCGCCGCCCCCGAAAUACAGUGGCGGUCUCGCCGCAGCCUCCUCUGCGCAGUAGUUUGCACACUCGCACCGGAGAGCGGCGCGUCCAAGCCGUAAACCACCCAAACUUAUGAAAGGUUGACCUCGGAUCAGGUAGGAAUACCCGCUGAACUUAA